CACGUAGGGUGCGAGCGUUGUCCGGAAUUAUUGGGCGUAAAGAGCUCGUAGGCGGUCCGUCACGUCGGAUGUGAAAUUCCAGGGCUCAACCCUGGACCUGCAUUCGAUACGGGCGGACUAGAGUUCGGUAGGGGAGACUGGAAUUCCUGGUGUAGCGGUGAAAUGCGCAGAUAUCAGGAGGAACACCGGUGGCGAAGGCGGGUCUCUGGGCCGAUACUGACGCUGAGGAGCGAAAGCGUGGGGAGCGAACAGGAUUAGAUACCCUGGUAGUCCACGCCGUAAACGUUGGGCGCUAGGUGUGGGGGACCUUCCACGUCCUCUGUGCCGCAGCUAACGCAUUAAGCGCCCCGCCUGGGGAGUACGGCCGCAAGGCUAAA
rnacentral:rRNA from 1 species